rnacentral:rRNA from 1 species
UCCAGACUCCUACGGGAGGCAGCAGUGGGGGAUAUUGCACAAUGGGGGGAACCCUGAUGCAGCGACGCCGCGUGGGUGAAGGAGCGUUUCGGCGCGUAAAGCCCUAUCGGCAGGGAAGAAGGAGGACGGUACCUGACUAAGAAGCCCCGGCUAACUACGUGCCAGCAGCCGCGGUAAUACGUAGGGGGCAAGCGUUAUCCGGAUUUACUGGGUGUAAAGGGGGCGCAGACGGCAGCGCAAGCCAGGAGUGAAAGCCCGGGGCCCAACCCCAGGACUGCUCUUGGAACUGCGCGGCUGGAGUGCAGGAGGGGCAGGCGGAAUUCCUGGUGUAGCGGUGAAAUGCGUAGAUAUCAGGAGGAACACCGGUGGCGAAGGCGGCCUGCUGGACUGCGACUGACGUUGAGGCCCGAAAGCGUGGGGAGCAAACAGGAUUAGAUACCCCCGUA